rnacentral:rRNA from 1 species
UACGUAGGGUGCAAGCGUUAAUCGGAAUUACUGGGCGUAAAGCGUGCGCAGGCGGUUUUGUAAGUCUGUCGUGAAAGCCCCGGGCUCAACCUGGGAAUUGCGAUGGAGACUGCAAGGCUUGAAUCUGGCAGAGGGGGGUAGAAUUCCACGUGUAGCAGUGAAAUGCGUAGAGAUGUGGAGGAACACCGAUUGCGUAGGCAGCUAACUAGGCUGUAACUGACGCUCAUGCACGAAAGCGUGGGGAGCAAACAGG